GGGGCCGGUCACGGUGGUUUCGUGGCACUAACGACCGUCAUUUUGACGCGUAAGCCGGUUCCAUUUCAUAGUCUGAAGGCAGGGAAGCCACAGGUGGUGGUGGUUUGUGCAUCCGAGGGGCGGUGAUUGGGUCCAAUGGCGUUACAGCUCGCAUGCCGGCGUCCCCGGUACUCAACAUCGACGACAGCAACUUUGAUGAAUUGGGUGGCGGUAGUUCAAGAUGUGGAUUAGGUUUUUCGGUGGCCAUUGGUGACGGCGAACAGGUUUCGUGACGAUACACGAGUGGAGAACCACGAGGGAUGUUAGAUCGGAGGUUUGCAUAGCUAGCCAGUGACGGCGCUCAAGUGCCUACGGUUCCGAUCAAGUUCUGGCAACUUUUCGGUGUAGUUUCACACUUGGAUGUUGGCAAAGGGCUGUGACAAACUGCGGCAAAUAGUAAGGAUGCAAAUACACGAGGAUCUUGAUGUGAGGUGAGAUCGCUCUUAUUAAUGUUGCAAGGCAAGGGCAUAUCUCCAAUGCUAAUACCUCAUUGAACACGUACUGAAACUGAUGAUGACAUUACUUCUUUGUUCUUAGCUGUAGUUGCAGACUCACUCCAAUGUUUGGAGCUAUUAACAUAGGAAGGCGCAAAAGUUCAAUCACGGGGACUAAUACAACCAAGCUUUAGGCCGGUCAAUUGUUUGUGUCUUUAGCUCUUGCUUUUAUAUGUCUAUUUUUAUUAUUAACUCAGAUAUAUAACCAAAAAGGAGAGUAACGUCUUUCAAAAUAUAAGUUUUAAUAGAUUUUCAUUUACUUAAUGUUGAUUUUGCAUCUCCUACGACUUGAUCCAAAAGACGCUUUACAUCUUUUGCACGGUUCGUUUA
rnacentral:lncRNA from 1 species